GAUCCUGGCUCAGAUUGAACGCUGGCGGAAUGCUUUACACAUGCAAGUCGAACGGUAGAGGGGGCAACCCCUUGAGAGUGGCGAACGGGUGAGUAAUAUAUCGGAACGUGCCCAGUCGUGGGGGAUAACGUAGCGAAAGUUACGCUAAUACCGCAUACGAUCUACGGAUGAAAGCGGGGGACUCGCAAGAGCCUCGCGCGAUUGGAGCGGCCGAUAUCAGAUUAGGUAGUUGGUGGGGUAAAGGCUCACCAAGCCAACGAUCUGUAGCUGGUCUGAGAGGACGACCAGCCACACUGGCACUGAGAUACGGGCCAGACUCCUACGGGAGGCAGCAGUAGGGAAUAUUGGGCAAUGGAUGCAAGUCUGACCCAGCCAUGCCGCGUGCAGGAAGAAGGUCCUCUGGAUUGUAAACUGCUUUUAUCGGGGAAGAAUAGUUUCUUGCGAGGGAAUGUGACGGUACCCGAUGAAUAAGCCACGGCUAACUACGUG
rnacentral:rRNA from 1 species